UCGACGAACUCUGGUAUUGAUUGGUGCUUGCAUCAUGAUUUACAUUUGAGUGAGUGGCGAACUGGUGAGUAACACGUGGGAAACCUGCCCAGAAGCGGGGGAUAACACCUGGAAACAGAUGCUAAUACCGCAUAACAACUUGGACCGCAUGGUCCGAGUUUGAAAGAUGGCUUCGGCUAUCACUUUUGGAUGGUCCCGCGGCGUAUUAGCUAGAUGGUGAGGUAACGGCUCACCAUGGCAAUGAUACGUAGCCGACCUGAGAGGGUAAUCGGCCACAUUGGGACUGAGACACGGCCCAAACUCCUACGGGAGGCAGCAGUAGGGAAUCUUCCACAAUGGACGAAAGUCUGAUGGAGCAACGCCGCGUGAGUGAAGAAGGGUUUCGGCUCGUAAAACUCUGUUGUUAAAGAAGAACAUAUCUGAGAGUAACUGUUCAGGUAUUGACGGUAUUUAACCAGAAAGCCACGGCUAACUACGUGCCAGCAGCCGCGGUAAUACGUAGGUGGCAAGCGUUGUCCGGAUUUAUUGGGCGUAAAGCGAGCGCAGGCGGUUUUUUAAGUCUGAUGUGAAAGCCUUCGGCUCAACCGAAGAAGUGCAUCGGAAACUGGGAAACUUGAGUGCAGAAGAGGACAGUGGAACUCCAUGUGUAGCGGUGAAAUGCGUAGAUAUAUGGAAGAACACCAGUGGCGAAGGCGGCUGUCUGGUCUGUAACUGACGCUGAGGCUCGAAAGUAUGGGUAGCAAACAGGAUUAGAUACCCUGGUAGUCCAUACCGUAAACGAUGAAUGCUAAGUGUUGGAGGGUUUCCGCCCUUCAGUGCUGCAGCUAACGCAUUAAGCAUUCCGCCUGGGGAGUACGGCCGCAAGGCUGAAACUCAAAGGAAUUGACGGGGGGCCCGCACAAGCGGUGGAGCAUGUGGUUUAAUUCGAAGCUACGCGAAGAACCUUACCAGGUCUUGACAUACUAUGCAAAUCUAAGAGAUUAGACGUUCCCUUCGGGGACAUGGAUACAGGUGGUGCAUGGUUGUCGUCAGCUCGUGUCGUGAGAUGUUGGGUUAAGUCCCGCAACGAGCGCAACCCUUAUUAUCAGUUGCCAGCAUUAAGUUGGGCACUCUGGUGAGACUGCCGGUGACAAACCGGAGGAAGGUGGGGAUGACGUCAAAUCAUCAUGCCCCUUAUGACCUGGGCUACACACGUGCUACAAUGGAUGGUACAACGAGUUGCGAACUCGCGAGAGUAAGCUAAUCUCUUAAAGCCAUUCUCAGUUCGGAUUGUAGGCUGCAACUCGCCUACAUGAAGUCGGAAUCGCUAGUAAUCGCGGAUCAGCAUGCCGCGGUGAAUACGUUCCCGGGCCUUGUACACACCGCCCGUCACACCAUGAGAGUUUGUAACACCCAAAGUCGGUGG
rnacentral:rRNA from 1 species